rnacentral:rRNA from 1 species
GACGAACGCUGGCGGCGUGCCUAAUACAUGCAAGUAGAACGCUGAAGGAGGAGCUUGCUUCUCUGGAUGAGUUGCGAACGGGUGAGUAACGCGUAGGUAACCUGCCUGGUAGCGGGGGAUAACUAUUGGAAACGAUAGCUAAUACCGCAUAAGAGUAGAUGUUGCAUGACAUUUGCUUAAAAGGUGCAAUUGCAUCACUACCAGAUGGACCUGCGUUGUAUUAGCUAGUUGGUGGGGUAACGGCUCACCAAGGCGACGAUACAUAGCCGACCUGAGAGGGUGAUCGGCCACACUGGGACUGGGACACGGCCCAGACUUCUACGGGAGGCAGCAGUAGGGAAUCUUCGGCAAUGGACGGAAGUCUGACCGAGAAACGCCGCGUGAGUGACGAAGGUUUUCGGAUCGUAAAGCUCUGUUGUAAGGGAAGAACGAGUGUGAGAGUGGAAAGUUCACACUGUGACGGUAUCUUACCAGAAAGGGACGGCUAACUACGUG